AUGAAUCUCCUUCAACUGGUGCAUAGACGGCUCACUUGGAAAAGACAUGAAAGCCCCUGCGUGCCUAUAAAAUCACUUCAACGAUGCUUUUCCUUUCGUGAAUCCAAUCUAAAUCCCAAAAAGCUCUCUGGCCGAAACCCUAAACCCCUUUCUCCACGCAUCGAAACCCUAAUUUUCCAUUCGUAUCUUCAUCAAGCAACACACAAGUCACGCUUUCCCCUUAUUCUUCAGACGCUGGUUUUCUAUCGUAUCAAGGGAUACAUCAUUGAAUUUUCUUGA